rnacentral:lncRNA from 1 species
GGGCUUUUGGAGCAGAGUUGGGCUUUAUUUGCUGGUACAUGGCACUCAAUUUCUGCCUAUAAAAUUGAAAUGGCAAGCUCAUGUAUAUUCUUUCACUAAUAUAUAAAAUUGAAAUGGCAAACUUCAGGUUCUCCCAAAUUAAGAAAACAAAUCUUCAAUUACUUAAAAAAAACAUCUUAGAAAUUACAAGGUAUAAUCUCGAUAAGCAAACUACAGUUGCAGAAGUAAAUAGUUGAUGUAUGGUGAUGAAUGCUAAACUUAUAGGCGGAAGACUUGGUGCGCAAUGGAUCGUGGAAACAUUAAUAAAACCAGCUUGUCCAAAUGACAGAUGCCUCGGACCAGUGGCCAUCCAUAUAUUCGCACGCUCCAUAGUCUAGAACCAGUACCAUUCUUAUCAGCAGAUCGGUGGUUCGCAGGGAGCGAUCGGUAUGUAGCCUUUGGGCUGGCCUGUUACGAUUUUGAUAAUAUCAGACUGCAAGUAUACGAGAGAAGAGCAGAAAUAAAGAGGUAAUUGUGUGCAUCAGCUUUACUGUUACUAGACAGAGAACUACGCCCCUAUACUGCGAUUGGUUUAGAAAGCUAAGAAACAUGAAUACUUACCGUUAGAAGGUGAAAAGGGGCCGUCCGGGCACUGGGAGAUACAGGGGGGUUGGUAGAGUAUACGGUUUCUCCGUGGGGAGUGGUUAUGCUCACCUGGUAAAAACAUCAGGGCCUGUGAGCAAAUGAAAGGCCUGUACUACAAGGUUAAAACAUUAUAAAGCAUGAAUACUUACUGGUAUAGGGCAAGCCGGUUGCGGUUGCGGCGCCUCUGGUGGCUGCGGGAUUGACCUGCGGCAAACCGCUCGAAAGCAGGCAGAAGCAGAUCACAAGGAACAACAUGAGCAUGGUAAGCAACUGAAUCAAAUGGCAAGUGCUAGGUAACAUUCUUCCUGAAUCGCCUUUGUGAGGGCAAAUCCUAGUCAGUUAGCACCAAGAUGGAACGAAAUAUUGGCCGGCAUACUGGAAAUCAUCAACACCUAUCUAUUUAUAUAUUAAAGCUCCAGUUUGAACUUUGAAGUGAACUUUGACUGGAAAUAGUGGAAGCGGGUAUAUUCCCUGGUUUCUUCAUUGAUCGAGAUGACAUAUGCACUUGGCCGUGUCUUUCAAAGAAAUAGUCAAAGUCUCUGCAUUACUAGACAAGUUUGAAUGGGAAUCGGUAGUUGCAGUACUACUACGACAACUACUAAUACUACUUGUGUUUUAUAUGUACAUCAAGCAUUGGCAGUCCUGCCCAUCAGCGUUCUAUAAAUAUACUAGAGAACCCAUAUCUCAAUGUAUCAUCCGUCCACUAGAGCUGUAGAGCACAAGUUCUCAUGUGUGAUAGGAAGCAUAUAUCUCAUGCGGGAACACUCGGUUCCUCGCAGUCACUAUCUCUAAUCCUUGUCCUAUCCUCUCUUCUGACAUGUUCAUUAGUAGGUUCCACAGCUCUACACGACCAUGGUGAUGCUACCACCGAAUUUCAAGCCCUUCGUUGCCUUAAACUGCAUCUCAGCACUUCUUCUGCUGCACUCCCAGCCUCGUGGAAGGUUGAUGAUUCCCUACAACAGUUCUGCACUUGGUCCGGUGUUACAUGCAGCAAGUCUCGUGUUGUUGCACUGGACCUCGAGUCGCUCCACCUUGAUGGACAAAUACCUCCUUGCAUUGCAAAUCUCACUCUCCUCACAAGAAUCCACCUCCCAGACAAUCAGCUUUGGGGUCCAAUCCCGGCUGAACUUGGUCAGCUGAAUAGGUUGCAGUAUCUUAACCUUAGCUCAAACAAUAUUAGUGGCAUGAUCCCAAGCAAUUUGUCCGCAUGUUCUCAGCUUCGAGUAAUUGAUCUUGGGAGUAACUUCAUAAGCGGUGAGAUCCCACCAAACCUAAGCCAAUGUCUAAAUAUGCAGCAGCUGAACUUGGAUGACAACAAGCUCACUGGAGGCAUUCCAGAAGGGUUCGGGACACUCCGCAACCUUUCAGUUUUGAGUCUUGCUGGAAAUACUCUCACAGGCAAUAUUCCUCUUUCACUUGGAAAUAGUUCUUCUCUUCGCUCUGUUUAUCUCACCAACAAUAGCCUCACAGGACCUAUCCCGUCUCUCCUAGCUAACAGUUCUUCACUCCAGCUUUUGGUCUUAACUAACAAUCAGCUUGGUGGAGAGAUUCCACCUGCACUAUUUAAUAGCACGUCACUCGAAGUCUUGUCCCUUGGAAAGAACAACUUUACUGGGUUCAUACCAGCUGUUUUCCCGAAUAUUGCUGGCUCACCAUUGCAGUAUCUUAUCUUGGCAUCAAAUAACCUUUUUGGCGCAAUACCUUCUACUCUAGGGAAUUUUUCUUCACUUUGCUGGCUCAUGCUUGCAAGAAAUAAUUUUCAAGAUAGCAUCCCAGUGAGUAUUGGUAAGCUUCCCAACCUACAAGUACUAGACCUGAGUUACAACAACUUGUCAGGGAGCGUCCCAGUCUCUAUUUACAACAUAUCGACACUCACAUACCUCGGCAUGGGUGCAAAUAUUCUGGCAGGGGAAAUUCCAACUAACAUUGGAUACACCCUUCCAGCCAUCCAAACUUUGGUUAUGGGAGUGAACAAAUUCCAUGGCCGAAUCCCCACUUCACUAGCCAACACAACGAAUCUUCGACACAUUUACCUCGGCAACAAUUUGUUUCAUGGUGUUGUGCCUUCUCUCGGGACACUUCCCAACCUAGUCUACCUGGAUCUAGGCGUUAAUCGUCUCGAGGCAGGAGGUUGGUCUUUCUUAACCUCAUUGACCAACUGCACCCAACUGGUGGAAUUAUUCUUGGAUGCAAACAUCCUUCAGGGAGAUUUGCCUAGUUCCAUUGCAGGCCUUUCAAAGAGCUUAGAGGUAUUGUUAUUAACAGCAAAUAAAAUAUCAGGCACUAUACCACAGGAGAUAGAGCAGCUCACAAACAUCAAACGUCUUUACAUGGAAAAAAAUCUGCUUAGUGGAAGUAUCCCUCGAUCACUUGGAAAUCUUCAUAACUUGUUUGCCCUAAGCUUAUCCCAGAACAAAUUGUCCGGACAAAUUCCACUAUCAAUUGGCAGCCUCAGCCAAUUGAGCGAGCUAUACUUACAGGAAAACAAUUUGAGUGGCCCUAUCCCAGGAGCUCUAGAAGACUGUAAAAAAUUGGACAUACUAAACCUCUCUUGUAACAGCUUUGAUAGCAGCUUACCAAAGGAGCUCUUCACUCUUUCCAACCUUGCAGAAGGUUUGGACUUAUCUCACAACAAACUCUCAGGAGAAAUACCAUUGGAGGUUGGCAGCUUGGUCAAUCUCGGCCCAUUGAAUAUUUCCAAUAAUCAGUUGUCUGGACAAAUACCUUCCACUCUAGGUGAGUGCGUCCACUUGGAGUCACUGCACAUGGAGAGGAACAAUUUUCAUGGGAGAAUCCCUCAAACUUUCAUUAAUUUGAGAGGCAUCAUUGUGAUGGAUCUAUCUCAAAACAACCUGUCCGCUGAAAUCCCUGCCUUCUUUGAGUCAUUUAGUUCCAUGAAACUUCUCAAUUUGUCCUCCAACAACCUCGAGGGACCAAUACCACCAGGUGGAAUGUUUCAGAAUGCAAGCGAGGUGUUCAUACAAGGGAACAACAAGUUAUGUGCAAGCAGCCCAUUGCUAGAGUUGCCACUUUGCAAUGGAGUCAUAUCCAAACAAAAGCUGCACACCUCAAAGAUUCUGAAGAUGGUAACAAUUACUGCUCUUUCUUUGGUUCUGUUAUCAUGCGUUGGAGUCAUUAUUUGUAAGAAGAGAAAGAAAGCCAAACAGGCAGCACAUCCAUCUGUCAAGGAAUUAAAGAAGAUCACAUAUGCUGAUUUAGUGAAAGCCACAAAUGGGUUUUCUUUGACCAACUUGGUUGGUUCAGGAAAAUAUGGGUCUGUCUACAAAGGUAGAAUUGAGUCUGAAGAACAUCAUACGGUUGCUAUCAAAGUUUUUAAACUUGAUCAACUUGGAGCAACAACGAGCUUCCUUGCUGAAUGUGAGGCACUAAGAAACACUCGUCAUCGUAAUCUUGUAAGGGUGAUCACCGUAUGCUCAACAAGUGACCCGAUAGGAAAUGAGUUCAAAGCUCUUGUUCUUGAGUUUAUGGUAAAUGGCGACCUAGAGAGUUGGAUCUAUCCAACACUAAUCAACGAGCAUCAUCCAAAAAGGCCGUUGUGUAUGGGUUCAAGAAUAACAAUAGCAGUGGACAUAGCUGCUGCUUUGGAUUACCUCCAUAACCAAUGCAUGCCUCCUAUGGUCCACUGUGAUCUGAAGCCUAGCAAUGUCCUUCUGGAUGAUGUCAUGGGCGCAUGUGUUGGUGACUUUGGGUUGGCUAAGCUCCUACAUGGUUAUUCUUCUUCUUCUGGAAUUGAUGGUUCUACUUCUACAAGCUUAGUGGGGCCAAGAGGAUCAGUUGGAUACAUUGCACCAGGUAACGAUUUCUCAAUACAAAACGUUGUAUUUUCUGAAAAUGUCUCAUAUGCAAGUAGUACAGAUUAUUUAUUUUACCAAGAAAAUUUUCUGAUUCUUCUGCUCCAAUCCUUUUGUGUUAAUUAAUUGUUUGAAUAAUUAUAUAUACUGCAGAAUAUGGAUAUGGGAGCAAAAUCUCGACGGAGGGUGAUGUUUACAGCUACGGAGUCAUCAUCUUAGAGAUGCUCACCGGGAAGCGUCCGACUGACGAGAUGUUUAAAGAUGGCCUGAGCCUUUACAAAUUUGUGGAAGAUUCAUUUCUGGAAAAGAUUUGUGAGAUUCUAGAUCCUAGAAUCAUCAUCCCCUAUUAUGGGAACCAAGAUGAAGAAGAAGCAGGCAGUUCUUCAGACCAGGAAAAUCAUCAAAUUGCUGCUGGAAUAAUUGGCUGCAUCACGGCCCUUGCUAAGCUUGGCUUGCUGUGCGCUGCGGAGAUGCCUAAAGAUCGCCCAGCAAUGCAGGACGUCUACGCUGAUGCCAUCACAAUCAAAGAAGCAUUUUCAGCACUGCAGGGCUGAGGAGAAGAAGCAUUUCAACCGUAUCUAUCUAUCGAUUGCCCACACGCUGCUGGUCUGGUGCAUGAUGACCUAUGACUAGUUUUUCUUUACCUAAGGCUUUAUUUAUCUAUGUUGAAAGGAUGCUAUCUAUGUUAUGAAUCAUCCUCUGUUGCAGUAGCAAAUCAAUAUUUGUACUGAAGGUAAACUAUAAUUCAGCCUAUAUAAAAUAAACUGUACUUCAGGAGCCUGUAUACAAUAAACUGUACUUGAGGAUUCAGGUACAUUUUAUUUUCGACUUGGCUGUUCUUUGCUUACGCCUAAUAUAAACUGGUCUUUAAGGUUUAAGCCUAAAUAUAUAUGAACUAACAAUGCCCCUGUAAAAAUGUUAAACUUGCACAUCACACUGUUACACUUGAAAGUUGAAUGAAAAGCAUUUCCCUGAAAAAAAAUAAGAGGAUUCAAGAGCAUACCGGUGAUGGAGAAUUAAUUAUAGCGACGCUGCUUUGCCAAGGGAAGCAGCGAUCUCAUAAUACAGCUAGCUCCUCGAACACCCUGCACAGCCAAGGGGCAGCACACGGCCUG